AGUGAACGCUGGCGGUAGGCCUAGCACAUGCAAGUCGAACGGCAGCACAGUAAGAGCUUGCUCUUACGGGUGGCGAGUGGCGGACGGGUGAGGAAUACAUCGGAAUCUACUUUUUCGUGGGGGAUAACGUAGGGAAACUUACUCUAAUACCGCAUACGACCUACGGGUGAAAGCAGGGGAUCUUCGGACCUUGCGCGAUUGAAUGAGCCGAUGUCGGAUUAGCUAGUUGGCGGGGUAAAGGCCCACCAAGGCGACGAUCCGUAGCUGGUCUGAGAGGAUGAUCAGCCACAUUGGAACUGAGACACGGUCAAGAGUCCUACGGGAGGCAGCAGUGGGGAAUAUUGGACAAUGGGGGCAAGUCUGAUCCAGCCAUACCGAGUGGGUGAAGAAGGCCUUCGGGUUGUAAAGCCGUUUUGUUGGGAAAGAAAAGCAGCAGGUUAAUACCCCGCUGUUCUGACGGUACCCAAAGAAUAAGCACCGGCUAACUUCGUG
rnacentral:rRNA from 1 species